rnacentral:rRNA from 1 species
GUGGCAGCAGCCGCGGUAAAACCAGCACCUCAAGUGGUCAGGAUGAUUAUUGGGCCUAAAGCAUCCGUAGCCGGCUCUGUAAGUUUUCGGUUAAAUCUAUAUGCUCAACAUAUAGGCUGCCGGAAAUACUGCACAGAUAGGGAGUGGGAGAGGUAGACGGUACUCGGUAGGAAGUGGUAAAAUGCUUUGAUCUAUCGAUGACCACCUGUGGCGAAGGCGGUCUACUAGAACACGUUCGACGGUGAGGGAUGAAAGCUGGGGGAGCAAACCGGAUUAGAUACCCGGGUAGUCCCAGCUGUAAACUAUGCAAACUCGGUGAUGCACUGGCUUGUGGCCAGUGCAGUGCCGCAGGGAAGCCGUUAAGUUUGCCGCCUGGGAAGUACGUACGCAAGUAUGAAACUUAAAGGAAUUGGCGGGGGAGCACCACAAGGGGUGAAGCCUGCGGUUCAAUUGGAGUCAACGCCAGAAAUCUUACCCGGAGAGACAGCAGAAUGAAGGUCAAGCUGAAGACUUUACCAGACAAGCUGAGAGGUGGUGCAUGGCCGUCGUCAGCUCGUGCCGUGAGAUGUCCUGUUAAGUCAGGUAACGAGCGAGAUCCUUGCCUCUAGUUGCCACCAUUACUCUCAGGAGUAGUGGGGCGAAUUAGCGGGACCGCCGUAGUUAAUACGGAGGAAGGAAAGGGCCACGGCAGGUCAGUAUGCCCCGAAACUCUGGGGCCACACGCGGGCUGCAAUGGUAGUGACAAUGGGUUUCGAAUCCGAAAGGAGGAGGUAAUCCUCAAACGCUACCACAGUUAUGACUAAGGGCUGCAACUCGCCCUCACGAAUAUGGAAUCCCUAGUAACUGCGUGUCAUUAUCGCGCGAUGAAUACGUCCCUGCU